rnacentral:rRNA from 1 species
CGAACGGGUGAGUAACGCGUGAGGAACCUGCCUCAAAGAGGGGGACAACAGUUGGAAACGACCGCUAAUACCGCAUAAGCCCACGGCUCGGCAUCGAGCAGAGGGAAAAGGAGCAAUCCGCUUUGAGAUGGCCUCGCGUCCGAUUAGCUAGUUGGUGAGGUAACGGCCCACCAAGGCGACGAUCGGUAGCCGGACUGAGAGGUUGAACGGCCACAUUGGGACUGAGACACGGCCCAG